rnacentral:rRNA from 1 species
AUUGAACGCUGGCGGCAGGCCUAACACAUGCAAGUCGAACGGUAACAGGAAGCAGCUUGCUGCUUCGCUGACGAGUGGCGGACGGGUGAGUAAUGUCUGGGAAACUGCCUGAUGGAGGGGGAUAACUACUGGAAACGGUAGCUACUACCGCAUAAAGUCGCAAGACCAAAGAGGGGGACCUUAGGGCCUCUUGCCAUCGGAUGUGCCCAGAUGGGAUUAGCUAGUAGGUGGGGUAACGGCUCACCUAGGCGACGAUCCCUAGCUGGUCUGAGAGGAUGACCAGCCACACUGGAACUGAGACACGGUCCAGACUCCUACGGGAGGCAGCAGUGGGGAAUAUUGCACAAUGGGCGCAAGCCUGAUGCAGCCAUGCCGCGUGUAUGAAGAAGGCCUUCGGGUUGUAAAGUACUUUCAGCGGGGAGGAAGGGAGUAAAGUUAAUACCUUUGCUCAUUGACGUUACCCGAAGAAGAAGCACCGGCUAACUCCGUG